GGAGGAUUACUCAAGAGGUUUAAGAGGACAGAUUGCUAAUCUGUUAGGGCUCUUUUUGGGCUGCGAAGGUUCGAAUCCUUCAUCCUCCG
rnacentral:tRNA from 1 species